UGUGGGAAUCCAUAUGAAGCCACCUGAUCAGAACACUGAGAUCAUCGAUGUACUAUCACCUUAUAGAUCUCACUCCUCAUCUUUGAAUUUAGAUCUCUUCUUCUGGAUCUUGAAGAAGAAGAUCACUAUGCAAACUCUUUCGCAUAGAUCCAUCGGGAUUUGAGCCAGAUCACCAUGAAGAGAAGAAGAACCCUCCUUCUCUUCUUCUCUUUCUUUUCUCCUCUUAGAUCUGAUCUCUAUCAGAUCUAGGCAUGGACA
rnacentral:lncRNA from 1 species